CACAAUGACAUAGAUUGAGUGGCAUUUGAAAGCGUAAAGUAAAGUGACACUAGAGUCAGUGUGAGCCAAAGAACUAAAGUGAUGUAAAGAAUGACGAAAAUGACAAUGUGUAAAGUUAAAAGUGAAGUGGGGCAAUGAGAACGAGAAAUGUAGAGAACAAGAAUGCUAAAGUUGGCAAAAGUAAAGGAAAUGUAAAGAAUGUGAUUGCAUGAGU
rnacentral:lncRNA from 1 species